UCAAAUCAAAUUGUAACAAUUAUCUUUUUAAUGUAAAUAAAAUGCUUAUAUAGCUUUAAUUUG
rnacentral:tRNA from 1 species